rfam:Human gut metagenome DNA, contig sequence: F2-X_000126.
UCCAUCGUGAGGUGGAAUCUGAAGAAAGCCGGAUUUUGGGAGUUGAAAGGUCUCCCAAUGGGCAAAACUCUGGCCUGGCGAACAGAAAUCGCAUAUAAGGCCGUCAGCGAGGGUAAGGUUGCAUAACAAAACAAAGCCCAGUAGCUACACGGAAUCGCUUUCGGUAAAUGCGGCAGGUAAAGAGGGAAAGAAUGUGUG